rnacentral:lncRNA from 1 species
UUGGUAAUUGUUUUCUGCAAAAAAUUAUGUGAAUAUAUAUUUAUUGCAAAAAAUCAUAAAACAAAAUAAAAAUCAGACAUCCUCUGAUUCUGUAAUAAUUGUAUGUACAUUAUAUAAAAACUAACUGAUCUAAAUAUUGGGAAAAAUAUUUUUAAAAAAAAUCUAUAUCAAAAAAUGAAGAACAAAUUCAUAUAAGUGGCAGCUAGUUGUUGAUGUCGUUGAUUCCAUGGCUAGGUGAAGAAGGUGGUAUCGGUGCUCCCUUGGGAAGCAUGCUGAAGAUCGUCGGACCAUAUUUUCCGGCGAGUCUUUGAGUCGGAGACUUAAGGAUUCCGACGUGGGGUUUCUUCAUGGGAACCAUAUGAUCACAUGGCUGAGGUUGAGUCUCAGGGUGUUUUUUCGACACGUCGAGAACGACGUCGGUUUUGUGGUCUUCGACUUCGACGAGAUCGGCUAAAGCAAGGUCCAAGGUUGUCUCCGUGGUGGACGGCGGCGAGUCGCUCAAGAGCCUGGCGGAAGAUGGCGAUGUAAAGGUGGUGGAAAGAUGAAGAAUAAGAGGAGCACGGCGGCGAGGUGUUGGGAUUUAUAGAAGGUAGCCAUUAAUGGACAGUUGUCGGAGGAUUAAUUUGAAUGUUUUCUUGGGUUUAAAGGGCUUCCCUUUUACGAUUAAUUUGAAAGGUUUUGAGGGUUUAUAUAACACAUGAAAUGGG